rnacentral:rRNA from 1 species
GCUAGUAAUGGCAGGUCAGCAUACUGCCGUGAAUACGUUCCCGGGCCUUGUACACACCGCCCGUCACACCAUGAGAGUUGGGGAUACCCGAAGCCUGUGAGCUAACUAUUUAUAGGAGCAGCAGUCGAAGGUAGAAUCAAUGAUUGGGGUGAAGUCGUAACAAGGUAAC